rnacentral:rRNA from 1 species
GAAGGGAUGUAUUUAUUAGAUACAAAACCAAUGCCCUAUGGGCUCUCUGGUGAUUCAUGAUAACUUCUCGAAUCGCACGGCCUCGCGCCGGCGAUGGUUCAUUCAAAUUUCUUCCCUAUCAACUUUCGAUGUUUGGGUAGUGGCCAAACAUGGUUGCAACGGGUAACGGAGGGUUAGGGCUCGACCCCGGAGAAGGAGCCUGAGAAACGGCUACUACAUCCAAGGAAGGCAGCAGGCGCGCAAAUUACCCAAUCCCGACACGGGGAGGUAGUGACAAUAAAUACUGAUACAGGGCUCUUUCGGGUCUUGUAAUUGGAAUGAGUACAAUUUAAAUCCCUUAACGAGGAACAAUUGGAGGGCAAGUCUGGUGCCAGCAGCCGCGGUAAUUCCAGCUCCAAUAGCGUAUAUUAAAGUUGUUGUGGUUAAAAAGCUCGUAGUUGAACCUUGGGCCUGGCUGGCCGGUCCGCCUCACCGCGUGUACUGGUCCGGCCGGGCCUUUCCCUCUGUGGAACCCCAUGCCCUUCACUGGGCGUGGCGGGGAAACAGGACUUUUACUUUGAAAAAAUUAGAGUGCUCCAGGCAGGCCUAUGCUCGAAUACAUUAGCAUGGAAUAAUGAAAUAGGACGUGCGGUUCUAUUUUGUUGGUUUCUAGGACCGCCGUAAUGAUUAAUAGGGACAGUCGGGGGCAUCAGUAUUCAAUUGUCAGAGGUGAAAUUCUUGGAUUUAUUGAAGACUAACUACUGCGAAAGCAUUUGCCAAGGAUGUUUUCAUUAAUCAGGAACGAAAGUUAGGGGAUCGAAGACGAUCAGAUACCGUCGUAGUCUUAACCAUAAACUAUGCCGACUAGGGAUCGGACGAUGUUAUUUUUUGACUCGUUCGGCACCUUACGAGAAAUCAAAGUGCUUG